AGCGAUGGCGGCGCCGCCCUAUGGACGCGUGGGUGGAGUGGCCCCCACCCUGGGCGGAGAGGUCGGCGCCCCGGGAACCCAGAAUUCUCCCGGGAUGCCGCCGCGCGCUCCCACGCCAGGCCGUGCCCCGCAGCGUCUGUUGGCGGACGGAAGGGCUGCAACUGCGGCUGGCUUGAGCCUUUGUCCCUCGCCUGGUCCCUCCGCUGCCGUGUAGGGAGGACUCCAGCCCCUCUGCGCCGUUUCUCACUACCACCCUCCCCCGGCACCGCCACUGGCGUGUUCGGGCUAAACCCCCUUCAUUCCGCCUGCGCUGGAGAAAUGUUCCCGGGACCAGAAGGAAUGAUAGGACUGGGGUUGGUCUCUAUGACAACUGGAAGAAAGAGGAACCAAGAACAACUGUAACUACUCUUCCAAGUCUCAGUGCCCAGCAGUGCCAAUCUUUCUGCCUCCUCCCCCCCCACCCCCCCACCACUACAAAAAGUACACAUAUGGGCCUCCUGACCUGAGGAAGCUUCUAUCCAAGUCUGUGAGCUCCCAUAGAUCAUCCUGAGGGAAUCAAAGAAUCAUCAUCAUCUGAGGCUGUCAAGAUGAAUUUCAAAACCACACCUGAAAAUAUGUUUUAUUACCGGUUACAGAGUGCCUUUUACAUCUCAUUUAUUCCUCCCAGCAGCAUUUGGAUGAUGAGGCAGUUUACCCAGAGGUACACAGGAUUUUAAAAAUGACAGAAACCAGACAGAAUUCUGAGAAGAUAGCUACUCUGCCUUAUAAUAAUCAAAAGAAGGCAUGGAUUCAGUGAAAGUCCAAUACAUCACUGGAAGGCUUUUGCUCCUCUUAAAUACAUAUGUGUGUCUUCACUCUCUAAUGUAUCUGUGAACUUGCUGACAAUCUGUGGCUAUCAUUAAAGUUUAUCCAAAAUAACAAAUGAAGCAUAUACUACUUGCAGUUAGGCAAGAUGUAUAUAACCCUAAAUCAAAAAUGCAAAUUGAUCCCUGGUUUAGAGCACAUACAGGAAGCAACCAAUGAAUGCAUGAAUAAGUGAAAUCGAUCAUUUCUUUCUCUCAAA